rnacentral:lncRNA from 1 species
CUUGAUGUUCACCAUGCAACCUUAGGGAACACGCUGCGUCCCAUGUAGGACCAGUGGAGGCCUUCCAGUCAUCGUCUUACUGGGCCACAAAAGCAUCACGGCAGGUGUCCGUGUUACCAUUUCCAGGAAGAAGAGGCAGAGCCCUGGAAGGUGGAAAGAGCCUCCGCGAGGAGGUCAGUGGCCGAGGAGAGAGCAGCACCCACAGUCACCCUUUUUGGAAUCUGUGUGGAGGAGUGUCAGCCCUGACCGAGGGGGUUCGAGAGAAUGUGAGCUGUGAGACACGAAGAAGACCCUGUGCUUGUGGUUGUCAUUUGCACGCCAGCUUGACAGUGAUGCUGGGAAAGGCGUGCACACUCCUGACCCUUGCGAGUCCCCAGUCACAAAGUGUCCUGUUCCUGUGCUUUUGCUCCUGCUGCUUCUCCUGCCUGCACAUUUCUUCUGCAUGUUGACUCCCUUUCAUUGGAUAUCACCUCCAUUCUGGCAGGUUUUCCAGUAGUCGCAAGAAGAAUAAAUAACUAAGGUCUGCUCUUAUGUGCCGGGUCACUCUCUCUGCGCCUCCUCCCAGGCACGAAGCAGUCAUGGUUUGUGUUCCAGUUAUUGGUGAGCUCCCUGAGGGCCAGGCUCCGUCUCAUCGUUUUCACAUGUCUGUACACGGCA